rnacentral:rRNA from 1 species
GGACUACCAGGGUAUCUAAUCCUGUUUGCUCCCCACGCUUUCGUGCCUCAGUGUCAGUAUUAGGCCAGGUAGCCGCCUUCGCCACUGGUGUUCCUUCCGAUCUCUACGCAUUUCACCGCUACACCGGAAAUUCCACUACCCUCUCCCAUACUCGAGUUAAACAGUAUCAUCUGACCUGCCCAGGUUAAGCCCAGGGAUUUCACAGAUAACUUAUUCAACCACCUACGCACUCUUUACGCCCAGUAAUUCCGAUUAACGCUCGCACCCUCCGUAUUACCGCGGCUGCUGGCAC